rnacentral:lncRNA from 1 species
AUUUUUUGGAUUAAUUUUGAUAUUUUUUAUGAUUUAAUUAUUUUUGUGCAUAUUUUUAAUUAUUUAAAAAUACUUUUUACUUUUCAAAAAUUAUGAAAUUUUUUGUCUAAGAUCAUUUGAUCUUGUUUGACCUAGGAUAAAUCUCUUGGCCAUUUAUUUGGUAUUUUGAAGAGGUUUUAGGUUUUUGACCAAACAUAAUUCAAU